AUUUUUUCCUCUAUAUUUCAGUGUAUAGACAAGCUGGAGAACCACUCAUCUAAGCCACAGGUUGCUACAGUCAAUUCCAAUUAUGCUGGUCAGUGAGACCCUUCAUAUCCCAUACCAGCUCCAUCUUCCUGAGCAGAGUGGAAGGGUGGUGGAAGCUGAGCAAUUGCAUAGGAGACCCAGGUCUUCCCAGAGGCUUUCAUAAAGGUCUGCCCGUGGGGUCUGAUUCUGAACACUUCCUAGCUGUGUAUGCCACUCCUCUGUUUGCAUAUCCAACACCAAAGACAAUCAGAGCUAUCAGCAGAAAAGCAGACUUCUGGAAUGCCAUUC